rnacentral:rRNA from 1 species
CCUACGGGCGGCAGCAGUGAGGAAUAUUGGUCAAUGGACGCAAGUCUGAACCAGCCAUGCCGCGUGCAGGAAGACGGCUCUAUGAGUUGUAAACUGCUUUUGUACGAGGGUAAACGCAGAUACGCGUAUCUGUCUGCAAGUAUCGUACGAAUAAGGAUCGGCUAACUCCGUGCCAGCAGCCGCGGUAAUACGGAGGAUUCAAGCGUUAUCCGGAUUUAUUGGGUUUAAAGGGUGCGUAGGCGGUCGGUUAAGUUAGAGGUGAAAUCCCGGGGCUCAACCUCGGAAUUGCCUCUGAUACUGGUCGGCUAGAGAGUAGUUGCGGUAGGCGGAAUGUAUGGUGUAGCGGUGAAAUGCUUAGAGAUCAUACAGAACACCGAUUGCGAAGGCAGCAUACCAGGCUACUUCUGACGUUGAGGCACGAAAGCGUGGGGAGCAAACAGGAUUAGAUACCCGGGUAGUC